UUUUUUUUUUUUGUCUUUUUGCCAUUUCUUGGGCUGCUCCCGGCAUAUGGAGGUUCCCAGAAGAGACAAUUAAUUAAUUAAUUAAUUAAAUAAGAAAAGAUUUUUAAAGGCAUAUGAGAAAGUAUAUUUCACUUCUCAUUCAAUACAACACAGUCCAUUGAGAGGAACUGGUCACCUCAGGGAAUGAAGCUUUAUUUAGCACAAACAGGAGAGGUUUUCAAUUAGUAUGUCUAUUCUUUAAUAAUUUCAUCAUUCUUCCGAGAUUAUAAAAGCAGUACAUCCUAGGUAAAAAAAAUUGAGAAAAAAGAUCACCCACAAUAUUAUUACCUAGAGAUAAUAAGCUCUUAUUAGUAUUUGGCAUACAUACUUUCUUUUAAGAUUUCUAUAUACAGAGCUUUUGUCCAUAUUAAAGAAAAUUAGGGAGCUCCCAUUGUGGCUCAGUGGGUUAUGAACCCGACUAGCAUACAUGAGGAUGCAGGUUUGAUUCCUGGCCUUGCUCAGUGGGUUAAGGAUCUGGCAUUGCUGUGAGCUGUGCUGUAGGUCGAAUAUGAGGCUCAGAUCCUGCAUUGCUGUGGCUAGUGGCGUAGGCUGGCAGCUGCAGCUCUGAUUCAACACCCUAGCCUGGGAACUUCCAUAUGCCAAAGGUGUGUCCCUGAAAAGCAAAAAAAAAAAAAAAAAUCAUACAUUAAGCAUAUUCUCAUCCCAUUCUGUUUUUCUAAAUAUCAUUCCAUAUCAAUAAAUAUUGGCCUCUACCAUCCUGUUUAAAGAUUGCACAGUAUUUCACUAUAUGGAUAGGCCCUAAUGACUUAAUCAAUCCUUUAUUAAUAGGGGUUUAGGUUACUUUCCAUGUUUUGCUGUUGCAAAAAACAGGGCAAUGAGCAAUCUGGUACAUAUGACUGUUUCUUUAAGAUAAAUUCCUAGACGAUAGCUUGUCAUUUUAUAACUCUGGAUCCAUAUUGCCCCAAGUGUCACCCAUAAAAUACAUACCAAAUUUACCUUUUUCAAAAGAAGGAAACCCUUAAAUUUAAGAGUAAUAGCAUAUUUUACAUUUCUAAUAUUUAGAUUAAGCAACCAAAAACUUUAAAAAUUCAAUUUAUCUCUAAAAAUCUAAAAUAUCAAUUCAUGCCUCUGAUAUUGCAUUAGAAUUACAUUUGGAGGGGGGGAAUUCUAAAAUACCUAAUAAACCGGUUUUGUUUUCAGCAUUUAUUAAUUUGAAAACUUAAACUCUGAAAAGAAUAUACUUGCUAUAAAACAAGCAAAUUAGUAGGGAAAACUAAAAGGCAAGGAGAGAGGCAAAAAAUACACUAAUCAGUUAUAGCAGCCACCAGGUCACCAAAUCUGAAUCCUAUACAAGGGCUGAGAAAGAAGCAUCAAGAAAAAGAGAAAAGGUGACAACUAAAAGAAACAGCUUUCAGAGACUCAGUGAUGGCUGGAUUAAAUUACACACAGACAUAUACAUCUACAUGCUCUGUAUAGAACCAAUCCUGAAGCUAAUCUCUAGGGGUUAGAACACAAGAGGAACCUUUGUGUGCUUUAUUUAACCAAACAUCAUGUACAAGGGGAUGGGGGAGGCCAGAUACAGGGAAGAGUGUCUAGGUAGCAGCUUGAGGGCCUAGUAUCAACUACUUCCCCUCCUGGGCACCAGGAGGGUAACAGGAACUUGAGGCAUAAAGCAGCUCCAAAGGCACUUAUUCCCUUCAAAACCAACACAAAUGACAAGGCUCAAUCAUCAAGUUCUUUGGCAAACUGGGCAAGGUGAGACUAUUUUUACCAACAAAUAAUUUACUGGAGAGCACCAUGUUUGUGCCUAGGAGGGGAAGGCCACAUAUUAUAACUAAUCUACUGGAGUUUCAUCCUAAUGGGGAAGGCAGGGACAUUAGAUAAAGCAACCAUAACAAAAGCACUGAACAUUUAAGAUGGAAAAUGGCAGUGUGUAUAGGGGUAAGAGGAGGUACUGUUGCUUGCUAACACCACACACCUAUAGGACUUGGGGUCUAACAUUCUUCUAGGCAAGGGCUCAGUAAACUAUGGCCCUUGAAUGGGUCAAAUCCAAUUCUGACUUAUGCUAUGAGCCAUUACCUAUAUAUAACACUUUUAAAUGGUUGAAAAAUUCUUAAAACUGUUUCCCAGCAUACAAAAAUUUCAUGAAAUUCAAACAUCAGUGUCCACAAAGUUUUACUGAACACAGCCAUGCCCACUCCUGGUCAAUGGCUACCUUCUCCAUGCACUGAGUUGGGAGGCUCUAAAUGCUUCAUGCUUGUUAGUUUGGCCCUGACAUACCCAGAAUUUAGACAUAGCCUGCUAGCCUAACAGAGAAUGCAGCCCCAUUUUUAAGAACAGCAGGCAGGUCUAAUUGGUUCUAUGGAUGCUGGGGUACUAGCCAAAUAGUAACCAGAAAAAUGUGAAAGGUUUUUUGAGUUGAAAGUAGAAUGGUCUCAGAAGGUGUGUGUUGGGGUGAGUAGGAUUAAAGGUUUCUCUCUGAAAGAAUACAUGAGCUAUCUCCUUGGACAAGAGAAUGAAACCGUCCUCAAAAUGACUACUACCUUUAGGAGCUUAGCACUGAGCAAAGCCUUUUGCCUUUAUUAUCUCAUUUAAUCUCAAACCCAGGUUCAAGUCUAAGCCUGUGUUCCUAACCACUCCCUGACUUAAAAGCACAAGACAACAAUGUUCACCAGGACUAAAAGAGAGGAAAAGACCACAGGAACAGUGGAAGGUUAUUUUAUGGCCAUGAGCAUCAGAAGUGUUCUAUUCAUCUCUCUCCUCCCUCUCCCUCUUUCUCCUUAUAGUAACAUCAUUUCCUUUAAAGAAAGUAAAAUGCAACUUAUUUCUUCCAGGAACUUGCUUGUUGAGAAAAACUGAUGCAGGUACUCAAACAUGGAGACAUUUUAAAGAUGUCACCAUCAAAGUUAUAGAUCUAACUUCUACUAAAUGCAAUCAAUGUGUAAGGGUCUCCAAAAGAAGGGGGUGAGGAAACAUUUUUUGAGGCAAUGGUUUAGAAAGCACAUAUACAGUUUAAUUUAGAUUUUUCAUUUAAAGUACAAUGAGGAGUAACAGUUAAAUGAAUCUUACUCAAAGAAAGGGCUAUGAUGCUGGUAGGCAGCUGAAUCUUUCUUACUAGGAUCCAUGUUCUUUGCUUUGCCAACUAUACCACCAUUUUCCUUCAAGUUCUCCAAAAAGCCUACAAUUAUAAGAACCACUCAAUCCUAACUCAUUUUGUGAAAACCAGAUUUUUAAGAAGUUUCACUUGGUUGAUAUUUUCAUCAUACUUAUUUGCAGAUAACGUAUACCAUUAUUAUAUAACAUGUUUGUACAUAUUUACUUGGGUGUUUAUGAAUGGUUACCAACAUCUAGCUCCCAAGUUCUUCCUGUGCACCAAAUGAGGGGCUCAGAGUUUCAUACAGGGAACUUCCUGCAAGGCUCCCAACACUUCUACUAGGUAGGCUUUAUCUAGAUGAGGAACCUCAGGGUCAGGCAGGAUAAGUACAUACAGUGAAUGAGAACGAAAGAACCCAGAUUUGGACUUAAGCCUGUUUUGACUCAGAAACUGUGUUUUUCCCAUAGCAUUCUGCCAAGGCACCAACACAUUUCCUUAGACUAUCUCUCAGUCAAAUUUGCUGGAGAGCAGUAAGGGUGUGGAGUUGAAUAAACGAUUAGCUCUAAGAGUGGUUACUGGGCUAAAGCCUCUGCGUAUCGACAAUAAAUCCAUUUGAUCUAAUGUUUUUUGAUUUGUUUGGGUUUUUUCUGCUUUUUAGAGCUGCACCGAAGGCACAGAGAAGUACCCAUGCUAGACGUCCAACAGGGACUGCAGUUGCCAGCCUACACCACAGCCACUGCAAUGUGGAUCCGAGCUACAUCUGCAAUCUACACCACGGCUCACAGCAUUGCCAGAUUCUUACCCACUGGGUGAGGCCAGGGAUUGAACCUACGUCCUCAUGGAUACUAGUUGGGUUCAUUACUGCUGAGCAGAGAUGGGAACUC
rnacentral:lncRNA from 1 species